GGUCAGUUGGACAAAGCCUCCUCCCCAUCUCCUGCCACCCCCCCCCAUGUCAGUCCUGCAGGACGGGAGUACAUACCGCUGUCGCCAGGUCACUGCUUCCUGAGACUCACACGUGGGAUCACAGAAGGAGGCAAAGAUGCCCGCUGUUCACAGCAGGUUUUCCCUGUGAUCUGGCCACUCUCAGCGCCUAUGCUCCUGCAGGAUCUGGAGGAAGCUUGAGAAUCCACGUGGACACCUCACUCCUUAAGCUGAAAGCCGGUUGGUGGUCUCCCUGAGACAAUCAUCAUCAGGAAGAAAUGUGGCUUGGCUGGAGUCCCACGUUUCGUUCCAGCACAUCCUUUUUACCAAAAGAGCCGUCCCUGGAGCUGCCAACAGUGUUUAUGAGAGAGCCAUCCAACACUUCUUUGGGUCUGGGAGCGUGGCCUGACCAAAGACUGGCCUUCCCCACCCAGCAAACAUCCAUCAGCAAACCUGGCGCUUGGUGUUGGUGUCUUUAUUUUUACCCCAAAAUGUUAAAAGAUAUAAAGCCAGUUUCUUUCUUUUUCUUUUUUCUUUUUUUUUCCUUUUUCCAGCUGGGAGAACUCCUGUCAGUGGAUGCAGUGUCCUUUCCAGAUUCAAUAUUAUGCAAACUGCAUAUCGGCAAAUGGAGUAAACAAAUAUGUCCAUGAAGCUUCCUGAUGCAGAGAGAGAUGGGGCUGCCCCAAAACAUAGGCGUAGACCUGCCGAUUGGCACG